UUGACCUCGGAUCAGGUAGGAAUACCCGCUGAACUUAAGCAUAUCAAUAAGCGGAGGAAAAGAAACCAACAGGGAUUGCCCUAGUAACGGCGAGUGAAGCGGCAACAGCUCAAAUUUGAAAUCUGGCUCUCGGGCCCGAGUUGUAAUUUGUAGAGGAUGCUUUUGGCAAGGUGCCUUCCGAGUUCCCUGGAACGGGACGCCAUAGAGGGUGAGAGCCCCGUCUGGUUGGACACCGAGCCUCUGUAAAGCUCCUUCGACGAGUCGAGUAGUUUGGGAAUGCUGCUCUAAAUGGGAGGUAUAUGUCUUCUAAAGCUAAAUACUGGCCAGAGACCGAUAGCGCACAAGUAGAGUGAUCGAAAGAUGAAAAGCACUUUGAAAAGAGAGUUAAAAAGCACGUGAAAUUGUUGAAAGGGAAGCGCUUAUGACCAGACUUGGGCUUGGUUGAUCAUCCGGCGUUCUCGCCGGUGCACUCUUCCAGUUCAGGCCAGCAUCAGUUUGCCCCGGGGGAUAAAAGCUUCGGGAAUGUGGCUCCUCCGGGAGUGUUAUAGCCCGUUGCAUAAUACCCUGGGGCAGACUGAGGACCGCGCUUCGUGCAAGGAUGGCUGGCGUAAUGGUCAUCAGCGACCCG
rnacentral:rRNA from 1 species